ensembl:snRNA U1 U1 spliceosomal RNA
GUAUUCACCUGGCAGGGGAGAUACCAUGAUCAUGAAGGUGCUUUUCCCAGGGCGAGGCUUAUCCAUUGCACUCUGGAUGUGCUAACGCCUGUGACUUCCCCAAAUGCGGGAAACUUGACUACAUAAUUUGUGGUAGUGGGGGACUGCAUUAGAGAUUUCCUCUG